AACCGCCGUAUACGGAACCGUACGUACGGUGGUGUGAGAGGUCGGUGAAUGAACUAAUCAUUCACCUCCUACUCGAU
rnacentral:ncRNA from 1 species